ensembl:snRNA U6 U6 spliceosomal RNA
GUGCUUGCUUCAACGGUAUACAUACCAAAAUUGGAAUGAUAUAGAAAAGAUCAGCAGGGCCCCUGUACAAGGAUGACAUGCAUAUGUGUAAUUAUUCCAUAUUUUU